rnacentral:lncRNA from 1 species
UCUAAUGCAAAAACCUAUAAAUAUUUAUCCUUCUGAUUACAGGUAAGUAUAGUCUUCAACCAUUGUCAUGGAAACUCUUCUUUGUAACAGAUGAAAACGACCACAGAAAAGCACAACCAGUCAAAAUGUAGAGUUGUGGACCCCUGAUCUGAUGGACACAUCUAUAAAACACUUCCAUAGCUGAGGCUCAGGAGAACUGUGGAAAGAAUGAUAGAUGCAUCUUUUAUAUCAGAAGAAGAGCUGAAUCAUGGAACGAAAGGUGACGACUAAGGCAAAGAGCCAUAAUUCAAAUCGUACAACUGCACAGCAAAGAGAGAGCUACAGCGUUGACUUUGGGACCGCCACACACUUCAACUUGGAGUCAACUGAAGGCUUCUCUGUAUGGGAA